CACCGUGUCACAGGUGCUGCAUGGCUGUCGUCAGCUCGUGUCGUGAGAUAGUUGGGUUAAGUCCCGCAACGAGCGCAACCCUUAUCCCCAGUUGCCAUCAGGUAAGCUGGGAACUCUGGGGAGACUGCCGGUGAUAAACCGGAGGAAGGCGGGGAUGACGUCAAGUCCUCAUGGCCCUUACAUCCCGGGCUACACACGUGCUACAAUGGCAGGUACAGAGGGCUGCAAAGCCGCGAGGUAGAGCGAAUCCCCAGAAAAACCCUGUCUCAGUCCGGAUUGAAGUCUGCAACUCGACUUCAUGAAGGCGGAAUCGCUAGUAACCGCGAAUCAGCAGGUCGCGGUGAAUACGUUCCCGGGCCUU
rnacentral:rRNA from 1 species